rnacentral:lncRNA from 1 species
GUGUUUUGCACAACUAGUGGCGUGGACAUGCCCGGGGCUGACUAUCAACUUACUAAACUUUUAGGCCUCCGCUCAUCGGUCAAACGUUUUAUGAUGUAUCAACAAGGUUGUUUCGCUGGUGGCACGGUGCUCCGUCUUGCUAAGGACCUCGCCGAGAACAACAAAGGUGCUCGUGUGCUAGUCGUGUGCUCUGAAAUAACAGCCGUGACAUUUCGAGGCCCUAGCGAUACUCAUCUUGAUAGCCUUGUUGGUCAAGCAUUGUUUGGCGAUGGCGCAGCUGCUCUUAUAAUAGGCUCUGACCCAGUGAUAGGAGUCGAGAAGCCUUUAUUUGAGCUAGUCUCAGCAGCCCAAACUAUUCUACCCGACAGCGAUGGGGCUAUAGAUGGACAUCUCCGUGAAGUUGGGCUUACAUUUCACCUCCUCAAGGAUGUUCCUGGGCUUAUUUCAAAGAAUGUUGAGAAGAGCCUGACUGAGGCGUUCAAGCCUCUAGGCAUCUCGGACUGGAACUCCCUUUUCUGGAUAGCGCACCCUGGUGGACCGGCAAUUCUAGACCAGGUGGAGGCUAAGUUGGCGCUGAAACCAGAGAAACUGCGAGCCACUCGACAUGUGCUGAGUGAGUAUGGAAAUAUGUCCAGCGCAUGUGUGCUGUUUAUUUUGGAUGAGAUGAGAAAGAAAUCUGCUGAGGAUGGGCUGCAAUCUACUGGAGAAGGGCUGGAAUGGGGUGUGCUUUUUGGGUUUGGGCCUGGGCUCACUGUUGAGACUGUGGUGCUCCACAGUGUGGCUCCAACAAUCUAGAUGCUGCUUCUGUUGGUUUACAUGGGCAGCCUGCACUUUCACUGCUGUUGACUUGUUUUUUUUUUAAAAAAAAAAUGCUCUCGCUUCUUUUAGUUAUGCCCUAUUCCUCUACAGUGUGUGUCUCUUUUGAGAGCACCAAUAAGGAGUGGGGGAAAGAGUCGAGGUGGUUGUGUUUGGAUUUACGUAAUUUGCUGAACUGUAAUCGGAGACUUAUAAAAAAUUAUUUUUAAAAAAUAUCUAAGUCACAACAUAAAAUAACAUAAUGAUUGUGGUAUUAUAUUUGAAAGGGAAUUACUUUAUAUUUUCUGGAGAUGCAUUCUCUUUUAAAUUAAUAUGAAUAUCCGAAUCAGUUUGCGCGUAUUUCGACUAAUUUCACGGCCAUAAAAUUAAUAAUCAUGUAAAUCUUCAAUAACCUGAGAUUUAUAGGAUUCAAACUAGUAAUUUUUAAAAAAUAAAACCAAAACUUGAUGAAUGAAGUUACACCUCAAAAUUAAAUUAGAUGCAUUCUCUUUUUUUAGUUUAACGUGGGUAUCCGGGCUGGCUUGCAUGCACCUCGACUAAUCUCACGGGCCCUGAAGUUAACGACCAUGUAAGCCUCCAGUGGCCAUCAUAUGAGCAACCACAGGGCUCGAACCUGAAACCACAGAGAAAACAAACUUUUUAAUUCCAAGUUUUUACUACUAGACCACCACCUAGAUGAUGAAUUAGAUGCAUUCUCUUAUUUCAUAUAAAGACAGGAUGGAUAAAUAAUAUUUAUGUAACCUGUCUCCUUUUUAUGUGAAAAAGGAGUUGAACUCAAUGUACGCCUAAUAAUUUCUCUUGUAGAAAAUUCUACAUAAUAUCAUCGGUAAAAUCAAAAAGUGUUGCAUGUUUUUACACACGUGCAUUGAUUAUUUUUUUCAAUUUUAACGUUUGGAUAUGUUUAAAAAAUAUAUUUAACUUAAAAAAAAAUAUUUUUUAGUAUUAUUUGAUAUUUUUUAUGUGUUAAUAUUAAAAAUUAAAAAAAUUAAUAUUUGUUUAAGUGAAAUUUUAUUUUAAAAAGCAAAAAUUAUCAGUUUCUUAAACGAACGAUUAAUCUUUUGUGUGUGACUUGUAAAAAAAAUCAAUGAAUAAUUUAAUUUAAAAUUUAUUACCCCAAUUAAAAACACAUUAUUAUAGAACUCAACACAACCCAGAAUUUAUCUAAGAAAUUUAAAACCUAAUAACCAGUUCAAGUUCAUAAUUACUAGUCAAAUCAACUAAAAUAUAAACCCAGCAAAACUCAUUCAAUACAUCAAAACAUGGUCCGAACCUGGUAAUACUUGUAGUUGUUUAAUCCAAACCCGGCUUAGUUUGAUCUCAAACGUCCAGUACUUUAGAUGUUUGAAUCUUAUCAGUUCAUUUUCCAACUAUAUAGCCAGACUUUAUAUUCAUCUUCCAUGUCUCCGUUCUCAUUCUCUCUUUUAGUUUCAAUCUCUCACCAUAGAAACACCAUCAAACCUCUAUUUCCUGCAUCAUUCUUACUGUAUAGUUCCAACAAAAAAUAACUGAAUUAAAGCUUUAACAUAUUUUAGUUAAAAGGAAAAACAUAUAUAUAUCAAUGAAGAGCAGGAUCAUCAAGAAAAUUUUAAAAAAUAAUAAAAUAUCAGAAUCCUCUGCUAAGCAAAAACGGAAGUUUCCUAAGCAAAAUAACGCACCAGGGAAGCUAAAAUAAUGAUCCACUCUAUCAUUUACAUUUGCUCUUCCAAGAGUAUAUUCAUCAUUAAAAUCAGAAUUACUUGCUGAAAGAUUGUUGACUCUAAGAUCUUAUAAAAAUAACAAAAAAAAAAAAAAAACAGCCAGAUAAUAUUUCCUUUCCCCUUCUCUGUUCCCGUUGAACACAGCAAGACGAUGAAGGAAGUACAAAUAUAAAACAAUAGACAAUGAAAAAGCUAUAGAUUAUACUAUUUCGUAUGCUAAUGGGGAAUUUGUUUUUAAUAUUGUUAUUAAACCUGAAAACACAAUCAUUUUUAAAAAAUAUCAUCAAUAUAUCUCUUGUUUAUUUUAAUAAAAACAAGGUUUUUAAUUGAAACCAUUGUUUUUAUUAAAAAAAAAUAUGAUUGUUAAAGAAAGUUUUUAAAAAAUAGUAAAUUAGCAUGUCCAUGUUUUAUAUGUGAUUGAAAAUAAAAAAAAUUGUAAAUAUGAUAAAAUUAUUUUUGAAAUUGAUUUAAAAAAUUUAAUAAUAAAAAACAAUUUGAAUUGAAUUUUCAUGAAUAAUUUAUUAUUAGUAUUAUUAUUUUCAUAUCAGUUACAUAAUAAUUAAAAAUAAAUUAUUAAAAUUGAAAUAAAAAUAAAAAUUUAUAAUAAUAUUUAAAAACUAUGCCAAAAUGAAAGAGAAAGUGAAAUAAAAAAAACAAUUUGGAGUGCCAAAACAAUCAAACCAAAAAACAAAACAGAAAAAGUCAAGGCCUAGCACAUGGCCCACUAGUAGUAGGCCAUGCGUACACCUGACCUUGUUUUAUUUUUUUAAUAAAAGGUUUUAUUUUUAAAAAAAAUACAGAUAACAUGUCUAACGUUUAUUUAAAGGAAAAAUCAGCUUCCCUGGCUCUGAAACCCAUGACUUCCAGGCUUAGAUAGACAGCUAACUAACUGAGCCAUGACACGAAUUCUUCAUAUGAACAGUGCUUAAAAAAUCCUAAUUAUUUUAGUGUCGUGGUAGAAUCUGGUAGAUACGCUGCAAAGGAGAAAAUGACCGAAGAAAACAAUGAAUGGUUGGUGGGAGAUGAGAAGUUUUGCCAGGUGGCAACUAUAGUUGGCUCAGAAGAUUGCAUUAGAAACGACGUCUUUUUGGAUGUUUCAGAAAUGAGAUGUCGUUUCAUUAUUUAUGGACUAACUUGAUAAUUCAUGGAUGAUUCGGUAACUUAUAUAUUUUUUCCGGAUUAAUCUCCGGAUCAUGAUUAUGGAAAAUAUCAUGAUAUUUGUAUAUUCCAGGAUCUAGAACUUUGAAUUACACGCUUGGAAAACUCUCACACCCCUUGCAUGUACUAGAGCUCAAAUUUAUUUUAUUACAUGAAUAACCUACCAAAUACACGUGGAAAGCAGGAGACCACAUGUGUUCUAAUGUUUUCAGUCUAAAAAUCUAACCCGCCCUCGGCUGUUUUCAGGUGCGUGCUUACCAACUUUUCUUUCAAUUGAUUGCAUCCACUAACCAAAAAAAAACGUGUAAUUCUGUACAUCAUACGUGAUUUUCUGUAUUUUUUAAAAAAUAUUUUUUAUUUAUUUUUUUAAUUUCAAAUUAAUUUUUUUUUGAUAUUUUCAGAUUGUUUUGAUAUAUUAAUGUUAAAAAUAAUUUUUAAAAAAUAAAAAAAACAUUAUUUUAAUACAUUUCCGAGCAAAGAAUACUUUAAAAAAUAACUGUUGGAAUAUAGGGCUGAUUGGAGACUUGAGUUGACGGGCUCUUUCUUGUAAUUUAACUCGUGGAAGUGAUUAUUCAUUCACUGUGAAUUGUCUCAAGUCUAUUUAUAUAUAUAUAUAUGUAUGUGUGUGUGUGUGUGUGUGUAAACUAUAAGCUCACACAAAUUAUUAGGCAUUCUCUUUGCGUGACAGAUUUGAAUCUUACAUUCUUUACCUAAUACCUGCCUAACAGGAAGCCUGGGCCUAAGCGUUCCAUAUUUCCUGGUUCACGUGCAUGCUGCCCUUUCCCCUUUGACUCCCUGAUAACAUAGGGCAACACAAAUUUUAUUAAUUUGAUCAGAUUGGAUUAAAUUGUACUGUAUUUUAAGUUGACUAGCAAUUGUAAAUACAUACCCAAGAAAUAAAAAUAUUAAUUCUUUUAAAAAGUUUAACAAAUAAAAAUAUCAAGGGCUGUGCUUUUUUGAAAUUUUAUAUUUCUUAAAAUUUCUAACGGUUGAGAAAUUUUGAAAAUCUUUAGUUUCCCAAACAUGUUCAAAACUUAAAUAUUAGUUUUUUAAUACAAUUUCAAAACAUUGGUUGACAAUUUUUCAAUUUUCUUCUUAAAACACUUUAAAUUUUUUAAAUAAAUUAUUAUUAAUUAUUUCCUAAUAUUUAAAAAAUUAUGAGUCGCUUGAAGUUUUAUUUUUUUCUAAGAAAUAUUACUUAUUUUAGUUCUUAAUUUUUUUUUCUAGUCGCUUGAGAUUUUAUGUUUUUCUGAAAAAUAUUGAUUAUUUUAGCUCUUUAUUUUUUAAAAAAAUUAUGAUUAUAAAAUUUUAAUUAUUUAUCUCACAAUAUAAUACAAUUUGGUUCUAACUGGUUCGGAUUAAAAAACUUGUAAAUGCAUUAUUAAUUAUUUCCCCAUCUUUUUCAAUGGGAGCUCGCUUACUAAAAUCGAUGCGAACAAAUAGCUAAAUGCCAAAAAAAACCUCUCAUGAGGUGCCAUGUCUCUCAUUAAUUGAAGAAUUAAAUAUAGAUAAUUACUAGUAUGAACCAAAAAAACAAAUCUUUAUUAGUUAGUGCAAUAAAAACUCAAAAGAUAUAAGGUUUAAAUGUAAAUAAAAGGACUCCUUCUCUUCUUAAAGUUCUUAUUUUUAUAAAUGUUUUAAAAUUCAGAUUGGUUUGUUGGAUGGACCCGAGAUCUAGUUAAUUUAGAGUUUUAACCUAUAUUGAAUAGGAAAAAUAAACCUAGCUGAUUUAAUUAAAAACUUGAUUUGACCUAAUUAACUCAGGUUUAACAUGGUGAUUCAGUCGAUCAUUUAGCUGAAAUGUUUUUUCUAUCAAUUUUAUAUUUAGAUUUUUAUAUUGAUCAAUCGGGUUGAUUUUAAACUGGUCAAGUCAAAUUGAUGAUGCCAGAAAAACUUUACAUUGUUUAAUUCUAAAUUAACAUUAGAUAAUGAGUCAAUUUAAGAGGCUUUAAAGCUUUUUUUGUCGGUUUAAUAUUAAUACUAAAUAAUUUUUUAUAUCUUAAAUCUUUUUUAUCAUAUUUAAAAAAUUAAUAUGUCAGUGCUAGCAUGUAAGUUAGUGAUAAACUAAAGCACGUAUUUUUAAUUAUUUUGUGAUAUAAAUCCAUUUCAAUCGCAUAUAUUAACGAACCAAACAAUUAUUUUUAUUGUCAGCGGCGAUGUAACGCGCUCAAUUAGUCCUCGGUAGACUGGUUAGAAGGGCAUUUAUGCAGCACGUGAACAUCUCAGCUAACCCCUCUUUUUCGUAUUUUGAUCUCAGCUAACCUCUCACUCCUUUUCGUAUAUAUACAGAUCACACUCUCUUCGAAUUUCCCGCACAUCCCUAUCUAACUCUCGUAGCGCUUUUACGGUGCUCAGCUCUCAACCCCUUUGAUUUGAUUUCUUGGUUUUCUCCCCCAACAAAAAGAAAAUAUGGUGACCGUUGAUGAAAUUCGGAAGUCGCAACGGGCGGAGGGUCCUGCCACCAUCAUGGCCAUAGGAACAUCAACCCCUCCAAACUGUGUUGAUCAGAGCACGUAUCCUGAAUAUUAUUUUCGCAUCACAAACAGUGAGCAUAAGGCGGAGCUUAAAGAAAAAUUCAAGCGAAUGUGUAAGGCUUGUAAUUAAGUUGAAUAUGUAUAUUAAUUGCAUUUCCAUUGCACAUUAUUUCAUGAUCGUUUUCGUUUAAAGAUAUUCCAUGCUUGUUCUAGCAAACGGAAGAAUUUUUUUAAUUAUAGCAUACAUAUUAGAAUCGAAUAUUUUUAAUUAUGCAGUAAUGUCUUGAUCUAGUAUUAACAUCAAUGAAUAUAAUAGUAUAACCUUAUUGUCGGGGAUGUCAACCUCCAAAUUAAUUGCAGAAGUUAGCCAAGUCACCAGUUUAGUUUAUUCAAUUUCAAUGGACUAUCCCCAUUCAUAUUUCAUUAUUUUAAAAAUAAACACCAUUGAUGUCCAAAUUCUCUGUCUGUUGAAUUGUAAAAGGAUACUUGUGCGUGUCUACACACACAAACAUAUAUAAAUAUAUAUCGAUCCUUGAUUAAUUUUCAUUUGCAGAACUAGAAACACAUAUAUUAUCUUGGUAGAUAUCUAUCAAACUUAAUUCUGUCAUGCCAUGCAUUUCAGGUGAGAAAUCCAUGAUCAAGAAGCGGUACAUGUACUUGACUGAGGAGAUCUUGAAAGAAAAUCCUAGUGUGUGUGAAUACAUGGCACCUUCAUUGGAUGCUAGACAGGACAUGGUGGUGGUGGAGGUACCAAAGUUAGGGAAAGAAGCAGCUACCAAGGCCAUCAAGGAAUGGGGUCAGCCCAAGUCCAAAAUAACUCAUUUGGUGUUUUGCACAACCAGUGGUGUGGACAUGCCCGGGGCUGACUAUCAGCUCACUAAGCUUUUGGGUCUCCGCUCAUCGGUCAAACGUUUUAUGAUGUAUCAACAAGGUUGUUUUGCUGGUGGCACGGUGCUCCGCCUUGCUAAGGACCUCGCCGAGAACAACAAAGGCGCUCGUGUGCUAGUCGUGUGCUCUGAAAUAACAGCCGUGACAUUUCGAGGCCCUAGCGAUACUCAUCUUGAUAGCCUUGUUGGUCAAGCAUUGUUUGGCGAUGGCGCAGCUGCUCUUGUAAUAGGCUC